UCAGCUCGAGUUGCUUUUUUUAUAUAAGCAGUCAAGAUUUUGUUCAUUUUUCUGGCAUUUUUUUUCUAGAAUAUUGUAACAUUAUACAACCAUUUGAAUGAUAAACUCUUUACGAAUCACUUUGACGUCACUUUCAUUGCAAUUUUGCUUUGAAAUUUAAUAAACUUUUGUAAAAAAAAAUGGGAAGAUCUAGAAGUGGUAGUAGAUCGCCAUCUCGUCAUAAGCAUAAAAGUAAACAUUCUCAUAAACGAUCACAUUCUAAAGAUAAAAGAGAGAGAAGUAACAAAUCGAAAAAGUCACGUUCUCGUGAAAGAUCCAGAUCUAGAUUAACAAAGUUGGAAUUAAAUAAACUAGACAGACAUUUACAAGAUUCCAGUAAGAAAAGAAAACGUUCAUCUUCAUCAUCAAGUAGCAGCAGUGAUGAUCUGGAUGGCUACAGCUCACAUCGGAGGAGACUGAAAAAGAUGAGUGAAGUUGAAAGGCUUGCUGAAAUGGAAAGAUUAAGGAGGCAAAAGGAAAUGGAAUCUAGAUUAGUGGAAGAAGAAACUUCUAAACGUAUAGAAGAAAUUGUGGCAAAGCGAGUUGAAGAAGAAUUGGAGAAAAGAAAGGAUGACAUUGAGAAAGAAGUUCUGCGGAGAGUAGAAGAAGCUAAAAAGGUCAUGGAAAAGCAAUUGUUGGAAGAAAUGGAGCGAAGGCAAAAGCUGGAACUUGAAGCACAAAGAGCUAAGGAGGUAAUAGCGAGUACUAUUCUGCAAAGUACUGAAAUGUAUUUUUUCUCUAUUUUGCAGGCAGCAAGGCUUCAAUAUAAUUUAAGUUUGCAGAUAAAACUAUAUGGCCCAAUUUGAAAUUAUGGCAUUCUAAAAUGUAAUACAAAUUUUAACAUAAACCAAAAAAUUAGAUUAAAAAAUCUAUAUAUGAAAAAUGCUUAUAAAUUAGUAUUAAAUAUAAAGAAGCUGUAUACCUUUAAUUUGUAAACUAUGAUGCUUAUUUGCAAAAUAGUUGAACAGCAUUAUAUGUUUCGUGAGAUUUGGAUUGGAGUCGGAACUUUCAAAUUAUUUGUCAUUUGUACAUAGAAUGUUUUAAGUAUAUGCAAUGCAUAUUUCUAUUUUGUUCUGCCAGACUUCAGGAAUUUUUUAUUUGCAUUCUUUUUACCUCUUUGUGAGUAUUUAUGUGCCAUUUAUUUUAUUAUGAAACUUGUACUUUUUUUUUUUUUUUAAUACCAACUUUGUGUUUUCUCAACACUGUUGAUUUAUUUCAUCAUUUAUGUUUCUUUUUAUUUAUUUUAUUUUGAAAUGAAUCUCUUUCAGCAUUUUUUUAUUGAAUCAGCACUCCAAUAUUUAAAAAAUGAUUGUUUGCACUUGCAUAUUAUUUGUUAUGCAACUAAGAUGUUUAUUAUUUCAUAAAUAGUUUCAACUUUAUUGAUUGCAAAGACUCAAAGUUCACACUCAUUAAAAAAAUUUUGGGAAAAAUUAAUUUUUAAAAAUCUGGUAGACUAGUAUUGAGAACUUAUAAUUUUUUAUGAAGUUAUCUUCCAUUGGAAGUCUAUUUUUUAAAUUGUUUAUUUGAUUCCAUUUUUUCAACGUAUUUUCUAAAAAUUAUUGAAAGUUAUCAAGUGGGAAAAGGCAGUUGCUCUCUUCAUAAAAUUGCAUCAGUUCUUCCAUUUUUUAAUUGAAUUUUUAAAUUUUCUUUAUUAAUUAUGUCUUGAAGUAAGUUUACAUGAAAUGCGUUUAUAAUCUUCAAAAUAAAUAUCUUCGAAAAAUUUAGUUGUUUACAGAUUUAUUUGAUUCAGAUUAUUAUUUUUUUAUUGCUCAAUAAUAUCUUGAAAAAUCAUACUAUACAGACCAUAUUAAUAUUCUGCAACUUUAGAUCUAUCCCUAACUACAGAUAUUACAUUAUUAAAUACUCAAUUUCCACAUUUGAAUAACAAAUUCAGUUUUCUAUUUCUAUGUCCACUUGAUUAGUCUGUGUAGUUUAAAAUUAUCAAUUUGAAUCAUUAACACAUAGUUCAUUUCUUUUUGUGGAUAUGUUCCAUUAUUAUUUUUUUGUAGACUUUUGAAUGAAGUUGAUGGUCUAUUUUUCUUCUUUCUCUCAAGUUUAAAGUUCUCUACUGAUUCAAAACUAAGAAUAUUUUAAAGAAACUAGCUUUAUAAUAUAUGAAUUCUUGAAAAUAUUUUUUUAAAUGCAAUAUCCUGAAACCUGGCAGUUAAUUGAAAUGCAAGCAUUAAAUUCAUUCUGCUCUUACCAUAUAGUCAACAGUACAUAUCAAUCUGAGAUUUAAAAUAAUUAUAUAUAUUAUUUUAAUGAAAGAUCUUAUGUAAAUGGGUUUUAUAUGACCUAAUCCUACUUUUGAGGGAAUUUUUUUGAAAGAAACAAAUGACCAGGAUUAAUAAAUGGUGUUCUAAUCUUUGAUGAUACAAAAUAAUAAUAAUUCUGAGUUUUUCCUUUAGUUGGAUUCUGUUGUAUCCAUACAUAAAAACCAUUAAUUAUGUAUUUUGCUAUUGUAAACCUUUUUUUUUUCCCCCCAUUAAUAUUGAUGCAAAUAUAUUGUGCCCAACUACUUCCAAUUUAUUUGCAACAAAUGUCAAUAUAUUCUGUCAAAAAAUUAAAUUCCAAUGACUUUAGUUCAUUUAUAUUCUCUCUAACAGAAAAGAAUUCUAUUUUUAUCAACCUUGUUUUGAGCUUUAACUAAUAAUGAAAAUGAGUUAACAAAAAUGGAAUAUAUUUACUAAAUGCAUGCUAAAUGUUGAAAAUAUAUGUCAUGUAAGAAGAGAGGGUUAUUAAAUUCUAAAUUAUAUUUUUAACAAAAUUCUUGCAAAUUACUGGUAGGAAAUUACAGUUUUUAGAUAUAUUAUAAAAUUUUAAAAUCAUUUUUUCCCCUUUCUUUCUUUCUUUUUUCUUUUCUUUUUUUUUACAUAAUAAUCUGUGCAAAGGUCAGUUGUAUUUUUAAGACAUGAUUGUUUGUGGGGUUGAUAAUUCUAUUCAGUUAGUUGGGAAUCAUCUUGAAAUUUAAUUAAAAAAAUAAAAGGAAAAAAUAUACAAUUUGAAAUUUAAAUUAUACUAUUAUGGAAUAGGCUGUUAUGGAAACCUAUCAAUAAAUAUUCUUUUUAUAAGAUUUACAAUAAAUUGAUUAAUAUAUAUUAAAUAUAUAUUUUUAAAAGAAUGGUUCAUUUUCUGUCUUUAAUAUUAUAAUUACAAAUCAUUAAUAAUUCUACAUUGGUUAUUUAUUUCUGAUACUUAUCAUAAAAAAAGGAGGACUAAAUUAAAAUUUGUAAUCUUUGAUAUGGUUGGUUUUUAAUUUAAAAUACUCAAAAAAUUGUAAUUAUUCUAUUUACUACAAAAUUUUAAAAAUAUAGAAUAAUCCAAACUAAGCAUUAUAUAUUAUUACUCUUUUCACCUUCCCAUUGUGCCUUUUUCUUGUAAGUCUUUCUAGAAAAGAAAUCAACAUUACAGAGGGGAAAAUUGAAAGCCAGAAUGUAAUAAAAAUUUUAAGUAAAAUAAUUCAAAUUUUUCUUUGGCUUAUAAAUUAAUUAUUAUUUAGCUAGACCAAAUAGCUUUUAUUUGAUUUUUUUAAAAUGCAGCUAUAGAUUAAUGAAUCCUUUAGAUUGUUUCUUGACUUAUUGAUUCAAUUUAAAAUCCAUAGAGUAUUUGAGAUAUUUAUGGAUUCAAUUUAAUGUUUUUUUUUUAUUAUUAUUAUUGAAAUGCAACAUCUAAAAAUGACUUUAGUUUUUAGUUUAACAACAUGCAACACAUGACCAAAUCUAAAAGUGGUUUAAAUUGCUAAAUUUUUGAAAACUUUCAUAACAAAAUUAUUUACUUUUGUCAUUUGUUUAUUAACAUUUAAAUACAUUUAAACAUUAUCAUAUUAAUUAUUUAAUUAAAUAGCUAUGAACAAUGUGAAGACUGAAAGUACCCAUUGUAGAAACUGUUUGAAAGAAAAUACAGAUUUUCUUUGAAAUAAUAGUAAAGUUUUAAACUUCUUCCAUUAUUCUUUUUAUUUCAUUUCAACGUGAUUAUUUUUAUACUAAUACAAUACAUAAAAUAAAAAUAAGAAAAUACUUUAAAUAAUAGAGUAGUAUAUCUGAUAUCAGUAGACUAAUUAAUUACAUUACAGAAAAAAAAAAUUUUUUUUCCCUACUUCAUUUUGAAAAGAAAGCUGUUUGCCAGUUAUCUUGCUUCUUGUGCAGUAAUUAAUCUUCAUUUCAUUAUCCUGAUUGGGAAUCGUUAUAUAAACUAUCUUGUUCCAGCUGAACAUUUGUAAUAUUACUGCAAAGAAUUUUCAAACUGUGUUUGAACAUUUUGUGCCUUACCUGCUGAUACAUCUGCACUGAUCACAUAGCAAGUCAGGAUAUGAAAUUUCCUGUGUUGAAGCUACUCCUUUUAUAUUUGACUCUUGCUUCAAAAUGUUUUCUUGUUAUAAAACUUUUACUCAUUAUUCAAUAAACUGAGCUAAAAACAAACAGAAUUAAUGAAUAGUGCAAGGUCCAAGAUAGCAAGACUUUGCGUUAUUCACUUGGAAGUGUCAGGAUUUUUAAAAGAAAUGGAAACUUGGUGCUAUUAUUGGGAAGAAGAAAGAAAGAAACAUGAACAGCUAGAAAAAAUUUUAGAAGAAAAUAAACGAAAAAUUGAAGAAGCUCAGAAGAAACUAGCUGAAGAGCGUCUUGCAAUUAUUGAAGAUCAACGUAAAAUUGAUGAAGAAAAGAG